rnacentral:rRNA from 1 species
UACGUAGGGGGCAAGCGUUGUCCGGAAUCAUUGGGCGUAAAGAGCGUGUAGGCGGCCAGAUAAGUCCGCUGUGAAAUCUCGAGGCUCAACUUCGAGCUGUCGGUGGAAACUGUCUGGCUAGAGUCCGGAAGAGGAGAAUGGAAUUCCUGGUGUAGCGGUGAAAUGCGCAGAUAUCGGGAGGAACACCGGUGGCGAAGGCGGUUCUCUGGGCCUUACCUGACGCUGAGGAGCGAAAGCGUGGGGAGCGAACAGG